GGUUUUGCUAGGGCUGAAUAGUGUAUGUGAGAGAGUGUGUAUGGGUGAGUUUAAAUUCCAGCUCAUAUUCAGGGUCAGAAAGAGAGUGGAAUGUAGGGUGUUGAGGAACACUUAGUUGCCCAGCUCAAUGAGUUAGCAGGUAGCACUAGGCUGAAGCAGCCAGCACAUCUGGGCUGACCCAGAACUGGCUCAGACCUAGUCAUUCUCUAGUUCUUUUUCUAAAAUCACUUUGGGGAUUUUUGUUUAAUUUUUUUUCUUUCCAGUAGCCUCUAAAUAUCAGCUAUGCAGAUAAGCACACUCUUCAUUUCCACAUUAUAUUCUUACUCAUUCUUCAAUAACAAAUGUUAGGAUUUCCACCCAAAGUAAUAAGAUUUAGGGUUUUUGUUGUGUGUGUGUGUUUCCUCUGGGGAAGAGUAGCAGAAGCCUAAAAUAGAUAAUCAUCUGUGUUCCUCUGCCCUAAAAUGGGAACUUUCCAUAAAACACUAGCUGAAGAUCCUUUUGCCGGUGCAGACCUAGAAUUGAUGUUGGGAACGCGUUUGAGCUUUUGUGAUAAAGUCACCUCAUUGUAAUGCCGAGACCCGCUUUGGGCUCUGAUUAAAAACAGCUUUGAAUAUUAAUGUUGAAUUUUUUCUUCAUUUCUUUCAGUCUUCAUUCAGUCUUUGGUGUGAGCUCUUAAGUUACCACUUGCUCCACUACAGUGUAAGUUGCCUGUUGUUAGAUCUAGGGAGAAAAGGUAAACUGUUUCUACAUUCUCUUCUCCCUCACUUUGCCAUCUGUCCUCAGUCCCAUCAACUGCAAAGAUAGUAUAGGGGGUAGUUUACCUCUUAGUGGAGAAUACCGGCAUAGAUUAUUAUCUUUAGAGUUUAGUGGAAAUACCUUUGACUGGCCUGAUGCUAAAUGACACAUUUCUUAUGCACACUCAAAGGACCAUUUGCUUUAAUGCAGCUGUUUCUGAUUUCCUUGUGUUGUGCUGUUUCUACUUGUCUGUCUUUCCUAUGUAUUUCCAUUUCAUAGCAGUUAGUAUUCAAACUUUGUAUACUUUGACACUGCUGCCCAAAUUAGUGACACGGUUUGAAGUCUUUAUGGUACAAAUUAAGGUUCUAUACAUAGUCUAGAACUUGGGGGGGGGGGUGUCACUGAUGACUGCAAAUUUUUUUCUCUCUUCAUUUAUAUUAAAAAAUAGAUUUUUAAAAAAAUAGGUUUCAUAGGCUGAGAGUGUAUCUCUUACCCAGCAUAUGCAUGGGCUGGGGGUCCACACACAGUAGUGCAGAGUAACAAUAAAUAGAUCUCACUUUUACAUAAUCUGCUAAUACCAGUAUCUUCCAAGAUUCUUCAGAAAAAAUACAGACUUUCAUUAGGGGCUCAUAACAGCUUGCCUUGCCUGUUUUCAUACCUUCCUACAACAGAGCUCUUUUGCCAAGGUCUGAGCCAACCAGAUCAUUGAAUCCUUAGUCCCAGUUUUUGGUACCUCAGAAACUAUUACUUGCCCCCACUUUGCUACAGUAUUCUGGUUUUUUUUUUUUUUUGUUUUGUUUUUUUCUGAGUCUGGUUGUUAGAUGCUUGUUAAUAGUAAUAGAGCUCUGGUUGGAAUAGAGUUAAGAUUAUUUACCUGAGAUAACACAGGAGUCAGCGGCCCCAUCUAUCCUCAAACUCCAUUUAGGAGUCAACAGCAACCAAGACUAGCCACUGUGUGUAUGUGUGUAUGUGAAAGUCUGUGCUUAAAAUUUCAUCACCAUAUUGUAUUUUCUGUACUUACAACCAUAGUCUUUCCUCUGUUUUGCUUGCCUCUACUGUUUACAGAAACAUUAUGCCCUAUCAGAAAAUUCACUGACAAAGUUACCAAGGAUUUGCCCAAUUUUGGGUAGUAACAUAAAAAGGAAAAUAUAUUUUUGUCAGUUGACAAAGGUAUUUGUUUUAAAUAGAAAGUUAACCCAGCCUUGGUCAGCUUUCUUGACAUUUUGGCUCUGACUCCAUAACAGAUUGUAUGUACUUUGACAUGUGGUCAUCAGGGGUCCUCUCCCAGUAAAGACUGGUUUUCCUCCCACACGGCUUUCAAGGAAGAGAGCCAAGCUUUUCAGUGACCUAUUGUCAGCUGUCUUUGAAAGACUAUCUUAUUCUAGAAAAUGCUGUCGUGCUAAACUGUUCUUGGAGAAGAGUGUGCUAGUUUGUUCCUCCCCAUGGUGUCUCUUGUCUUGUUAAAUGUGUCAGAUUUCAAGGACAGGAAGAGAAAUCUCUGGCUGGUAAAUUUCAUGUCCCAAAUAAUGAACUUAAGUCUAACCAAGGUGACUCAAGAGAUGGGAGUUUUCUCUCUCUACUUUGAGCAAGGUUUAUUUAUGAUUGUAAGACUUACCAUGGAACUGCAGACCUAUUUACUGUAACUGGAAAACAUGAGUCUGGUUAAGCACAGAUUUCUAACCCUAGGAUAAAAGUUUAGGUAAGGGGAGACUUUUGUUUAGUAGCAGAAGAAAAAACAAUUCUUUAUUCAGUGAGUGUCCACCCCGCAAAGCCACUUCCCAUAAGGGAACAGCUCCUCCUCUUCAGUGACCGUCACCCUACACAGAUGCUACCAAGUUUGCAAGCCAGUCUCCAAGAUAGGAGCCUGAGGACUCAGUUGAUGGUCCUUUAGGGGAAAGGCCCUAAUUACUGUGUUGCGUCUGCUUGUAGGAAGGUGUGUUUGCUAACUUGAAGGAAUAUAUGCUGUACUUCAAAUAAGUGUGUGACUUAAUACUUUGGGAUUUUUUUCCCUCUAAAACUGGACCUGAACACAGCUUUGAGUUGGUAUUUGUAAUAAUCUCAGGACCUGAAAGAUUGUAGCAUUUAGUGUGUCUUAAUAAUUAUGUACUGUACCAGCCAUGGAGUUUUGUAAAUAUACCUGUCUCCCUUUUUUGUAUUAUUUUAGUAAACAAUAAAUAAAUAAAUAAAUUUAAU
rnacentral:lncRNA from 1 species